GCUUACGGCCACACCGGCCUGAGUACGCUGAUCUCGUCCGAUCUCGGAAGCUAAGCAGGGUCGGGCCUGGUUAGUACUUGGAUGGGAGACCCGCCUGGGAAUACCAGGUGCUGUAAGCU
rnacentral:rRNA from 1 species